rnacentral:rRNA from 1 species
GAUGAACGCUGGCGGCGUGCCUAAUACAUGCAAGUCGAGCGAAUAGACGAGGAGCUUGCUCCUCUUACGUUAGCGGCGGACGGGUGAGUAACACGUGGAUAACCUACCUAUAAGACUGGGAUAACUUCGGGAAACCGGAGCUAAUACCGGAUAAUAUAUUGAACCGCAUGGUUCAAUAGUGAAAGACGGUUUUGCUGUCACUUAUAGAUGGAUCCGCGCCGCAUUAGCUAGUUGGUAAGGUAACGGCUUACCAAGGCAACGAUGCGUAGCCGACCUGAGAGGGUGAUCGGCAACACUGGAACUGAGACACGGUCCAGACUCCUACGGGAGGCAGCAGUAGGGAAUCUUCCGCAAUGGGCGAAAGCCUGACGGAGCAACGCCGCGUGAGUGAUGAAGGUCUUCGGAUCGUAAAACUCUGUUAUUAGGGAAGAACAAAUGUGUAAGUAACUAUGCACGUCUUGACGGUACCUAAUCAGAAAGCCACGGCUAACUACGUG